GAUGAAGAACGUGGCGAAAUGCGAUAAGUAGUGUGAAUUGCAGAAUUCAGUGAAUCAUCGAAUCUUUGAACGCACAUUGCGCCUCCUGGUAUUCCGGGAGGCAUGCCUGUUCGAGCGUCAUUAAAAUCACUCAAGCUUAGGUUUACCUAUUGCUUGGUCUUGGAGAUGGAAGCCAAUUCAUUGGAAUCCUCUUCGAAAUCCAAUGGCGAAGACCCUUGCUCUCCCAAGUGUAGUAAUAACUUAUGUCACUGAAGGAAGCGAGAAAUCUUCCGCCGUAACCCCCAUAUUUUCUAUGAUUGACCUCGGAUCAGGUAGGGAUACCCGCUGAACUUAAGCAUAUCAAUAAGCGGAGGA
rnacentral:misc_RNA from 1 species